rnacentral:lncRNA from 1 species
ACACACUCAUGGUGAUUUUGGUGUAAAGUUUGUGAAUUUAUCAUUGGUGAUUUGUAAGUUAUGAUUUUUUGAAUUAGGGUGUGACAAUUUGUGUCACACCAUUGAUGUCCAACUUCAUGAUUUUCAUAGCCAUGCUUCUUGACCUCCAAUUGAUCUGAUUUUUUGCAUGAAUGUACUCUUGUAUGUCUAGUUUACAUGUGAAUUUUCUUGGAAUUAUUUGUGGCAUUUCCUAAUUGUUU